GAACUGAUUAUAAUUUACUUGCUUGAAGUGCGAAUAUCCAUUUCUCCGCCUUGGAAGAACUGCACUGCAGUGAGCAGUUAGAUAAGCUUGCAUAAGUACUUGCAGCCAGCUCUCACGACCAUGUCCUGGAGGAAAUGAGCAUCACCUAAUCCACAGACUGGAGCAGAGGUCCAUGGAGGAGGCUGCGGCCCAUGGAGAGCCCCCGCAGGAGCAGGCCCCAGGCCGGAGCUGCAGCCCGUGGAGAGGAGCCCACGCAGGAGCAGGGGGUCUUGAGGGAGCUGCCGCCCACCCAUGGGGGACCCGUGCUGGAGCAGUUUGCUCCUGGGGGAUGGACCGUGUGGUACAGAGCCGUGUGGGAGCAGUGCUUGAAGAGCAGCAGUCCACAUAGGAUCAGUUCGGGAAGGACAGCAUCCCAUGGGAGGGACCCCAUGGUGGAGCAGGGGUAGAGAGUGACCGUGAAGGAGCAGCGGAGACGAAGCAUCAGGGACGGACCACAGCCCCCAUUCCCCGUUCCCCUGCGCCACGAGGGAAGUAAAAGAGGGUGGAUGGGGAGGAAGGUGCUUUUAGUUUGCUUUUAGUUUCUCACUGCUUUAGUCUGCUAGUGAUAGGCAAAUUAAUUUCCCUAUGCUGAAUCUGUUUUGCCCUUGACGAUAACUGUUGAGUGAUCUCCAUGUCCUUAUCUCAACCUGUGAGCCCUUCUUUUUCUUUUCAUCAUAUUUUCUCCCCCUUUUCCUUUGAAGAUGGGGAUUGAGAGAGCAGCUGUGAUGGAGUUUGGCUGCCCAGCAGGGUAAAAACAGCACAGUGUUAGUUCUAGUUUCCCUUACUCCCUGGUACCUUGCCACAGGGAUGCCCCCCAUAUUUUCCUACACAGCUCUUCAUCACAUAACACAAGUUUAAUCUGAGCAUGUCCAUUCUUGACGGAACAAAUGCAAAACAAUUUUCAGAAGUUUCAGAAGGCUUGUUCUAUGAACAGCAAAAGUUAUCCUGAUGUCCCAAGGCUAUGCAUGUGUACAUAGAAUGUAUGUAAAGGAAAGGAGCUCUGUUUUCCAAGUGCAGAAAGGAAAUGAUUCUGACUAGAAGCAUACGUCAUCAGCAUCGGCAUCCCUUGCCCUUUGUUUCCAAACAUGACUCCUCAACUGAAAGACUUAUUUCGAGAUAUUUCCUGUUGAGUAACUGAUGGUGCUGCUGCUGAGAGAGCUCCAUGCACUCCAGCUGCUCACUGACAUAGAGGACGGCACCUCCUCCUCAUUUCCCCUGCCUGCCCUUCCUGAAGAGCCUGUAUCCUCCAUUCCAACACUCCAGUCAUGGGAAUCAUCCCACCACAUCUUGGUAAUGCCAGUGCGGUCAUGGCCCUGGAGGUGUGUGUACAUCUCUAACUCCUCUUGUUUAUUGCCCGUGCCACGUGUGUUAGCAUAGAAGCAUUUUAGCUGGGCCCCCAGUGAAGCUGCCUUACUGGCUGCAGUGGCUGGAACUCCUUUGUGCUGGUCUUCAGGUGCUCUCCUGCUGACCUGUGACCCUCCUCCAGUCUCUGGUCAUCUAUUGCUGAUACUGGCUUCAAACUGAUGGACGCCAUCAGCCUCCAGCAGACCAUGUUUCUCAAUUUGAGUCUCAUCGUCUAAGUAAUUGAACUCCUGACUGUGGCACCAGUCUUGUAGCCAUUUCUUGAUUUGCCAGAUUCAAAUGGCUCUUUCAAACCCCCUUCGUUUGACUGGGAGGACUGUCGAAAAAGCUACUUGCACUCCUGAGUCCCUUACUGCUGCUCCUGGAGCUGUGUAAUCCUUCUUGAUACUCCUCAGGCUGCUCCUGGUUGUAUCAACGGUGCCCAUGUGAAAAAACAACAGGAGCAGAUCUUUCCUUCCAUCUCAGAGCAGCCUAACAAGCAGUGCAGGGAGAAAAUGCAGCAUACAGUAUGAUCAGACCUAUCCCUCCAGCUUAUUGUGUGAGCUCUGUUGCCGUGUAUUCUGAAUGAGGAUUGUAAUUUGUAUUUCAUGUGAUCAUAGGUUCUAAUCCUUCCCCUUUCAUAUAUAAAAAAUUCCCACUCAGACUUUGCAAAUGAUCUAUGUUUGGUUAGCACAGGGUUUCUUCAUCAUUUAUUUCCAUUGUGCUAAAGACACCAGCAGAAUUUUGUAUGAUACUCCCAUUUGGACAAAGCUGUGGCAAAGUGAGAUGGCGGCAAAUGUUCUCUCCUUUAAGGUGAAUAUUCAGAAAUCUUGACAUUUUGAUGAAUUCUGUUGUAGCACCUGGAAGACCACUCUUCCCAACCAAGCAUUCUUUUGUCUUCCUUUACUAAUGAUCACUGCUGUGCAAUUAUUCUAGUUUCUGCUCCUAUCUAAAACUCCUGCCCAAUUUCACAGCUGUAAUAAUAAAUUUAAUAUU